ACAUUAAAUAUAAAUAUAAUACACUAAAUAUAAUCUUUAAUAUGGCUCGACCGUUGGCUUUAUUCAAAUUUUCAAAUUAACCGGAAACGCGGAGGCGCGCUUUCAGCCAUAAUCACUUCCUAUUUACAAGUUCGUUAUUAAAUCACGGAAUUAACAUCAAAAGGUAACGGCCCCCAGCUUCAGACGUCUGUCCCGGGCCACUGAGGGCCUCUCGGAGCCCAACUCAGGUCUCUCCAGCUGGGCUCUUCACUCAGAACAAUGGCCAGUCGACCUGAAUGAGGAAUGCUGAUCAUUUUGAACGAAAGCAUCAGAUUGGAAAGAAAAACUGGAAUCGGAAGUAAGAUCUGCACCUUUUACAACUUUCUUGUUUCUUAUGCAAAUCAACAAGAUUAAAUGGAGAUUUUUGUUGGAGAAAAAGCACCCAGUUAUCUUUCUUAUUUACAAAUGAAGUUCACAAACUGUGCUCAGAUUAUUGCAAUCAAAAGUUUAACGAAUUUAAGGAGAAACAUCUGAGAACUCCAUUAAGUUUCCUGAGUUGUUUUCUGACUGUCUCUUUAGAGAUUUGUUUUCAGAUGCAUUAAAAUGUGCAUGCAUGCCUUAAAGCCUCUUUUCUAUUUUAGCUCUUUAUUUAUAGGCCUCCACAUGUAAUAACAAGUGCAGCCCGAUGGACCAUCAUGUUUCAAUCAUACCAUACCACAAAUUUGAUCACUUUCCUCCCCUCAAAACACAAACACACACUCACACGCAUCACAAAAGCCAUGCUCAUUUCAUUUCAUCACAUACUGUAUAAUUACGCAGAAAACAUGUAUUUUUAGAUAUUUGAGUUAGUGGCCUUGGGAGAUUCAGGCCUGAAAGACACUUGAAGUAAACGAAAGCAGACUCGAGAUCAAUUUGGCUUGCUCUUUCAAUCCGAAAUGUGUUUGAUUGCAAUGCAUAACACACAGUGUGGCACUAUAAAAGAUGCAUGUAUUUUACUCAUGCAUGCAAAUGCAAAAAAUGCAAUUCCUUGCAUGCUUAAAGCAGCAGUUUUGCCAGAGAGGAAAAUGCGCUGAAAUCGUGCUCUCUCUCUCAUGCCAAGGUGUAGAUGAGUUUGUUUCCUGUAUGUAAUCAUUGCAGCAUUGCAUCAGUGUCUCAUCAACGGAUGCUCUGCAGUGAAUGGGUGCCGUCAGAAUGAGAGUCCAAACAGCUGAUAAAAACAUCACAAUAAUCCACAGCACUCCAGUCCAGCAGUUAAUGUCUAGUGAAGCCAAAAUCUGUGUUUGUAAAAAAACAAAUCCAUCAUUAAGCCAUUGCUUCCAGUUAAAAUACAAGUCCUCUACUUAUGUAUAGUCCUUUACAAAGU